rnacentral:rRNA from 1 species
GAUGAACGCUGGCGGCGUGCCUAAUACAUGCAAGUCGAGCGAACAGACGAGAGUGCUUGCACUCUCUGAUGUUAGCGGCGGACGGGUGAGUAACACGUGGGUAACCUACCUAUAAGACGGGGAUAACGUCGGGAAACCGGAGCUAAUACCGGAUAAUUUUUAGCUUCGCAUGAAGAAAUAGUGAAAGACGGUUCUGCUGUCACUUAUAGAUGGACCCGCGGUGUAUUAGCUAGUUGGUGAGGUAACGGCUCACCAAGGCAACGAUACAUAGCCGACCUGAGAGGGUGAUCGGCCACACUGGGACUGAGACACGGCCCAGACUCCUACGGGAGGCAGCAGUAGGGAAUCUUCCGCAAUGGGCGAAAGCCUGACGGAGCAAUGCCGCGUGAGUGAUGAAGGUUUUCGGAUCGUAAAACUCUGUUAUAAGGGAAGAACAUGUGCGUAAGUAACUGAGCGUAUCUUGACGGUACCUAAUCAGAAAGCCACGGCUAACUACGUG